rnacentral:rRNA from 1 species
GCAGCUGGAUUGCGGCUUAUUUGACUCAACACUGGAAAUCUCACCAGGCCCGGACACCGGAAGGAUUGACAGAUUGAGAGCUCUUUCUCGAUUCGGUGGGUGGUGGUGCAUGGCCGUUCUUAGUUGGUGGAGUGAUUUGUCUGGUUAAUUCCGAUAACGAACGAGACUCCGUCCUGCUAAAUAGUUGCGACGUCACGCUUGCGUCGCAAAUUCUUCUUAGAGGGACUGGCGGCAUCUAGCCGCACGAGAUGGAGCAAUAACAGGUCUGUGAUGCCCUUAGAUGUUCUGGGCUGCACGCGUGUUACACUGAAGGGAUCAGCGUGUUUUCCCUGACCGAGAGGUCCGGGUAACCCGCUGAACCCCCUUCGUGGUAGGGAUCGGAGCUUGCAAUUAUUCUCCGUGAACCAGGAAUGCCCAGUAAGCGCAAGUCAUAAGCUUGCGUUGAUUACGUCCCUGCCCUUUGUACACACCGCCCGUCGCUACUACCGAUUGAACGUUUUAGUGAGGUAUUUGGACUGGGCCUCUGGUGGUUCGCGCCUCCAGUGUUGCCCGGGAAGAUUCCCAAACUUGAGCGUUUAGAGGAAGUAAAAGUCGUAACAAGGUUACCGUAGGUG